GACGAACGCUGGCGGCGUGGAUUAGGCAUGCAAGUCGGACGGUAGAGCUUUAUCGUAAGAUAGAGUUUGAGAGUGGCGAACGGGUGAGUAACACGUAGGAAUCUACCCUUAAGACGGGGGACAACCCAGGGAAACUUGGGCUAAUACCGGAUGAGAGUGCGAGAGAUUGCAUUUAAAAGGAUGGCGAAAGUUGUCGCUUAGGGAUGAGCCUGCGGUCUAUUAGUUAGUUGGUGAGGUAAGAGCUCACCAAGGCGAUGAUAGAUAGGCGGCCUUAACGGGUGGUCGCCCACACUGGGAUUGAGAUACGGCCCAGACUCCUACGGGAGGCAGCAGUCGAGAAUAGUCUACAAUGGCCGGAAGGCUGAUAGUGCGACGCCGCGUGAACGAUGAAUCCCUUCGGGGUGUAAAGUUCUUUUAUAUGUGAGCAGUGCUUCUUAUAUUAACAGUAUGGGGAGAGAGAUAUUAGCAUAUGAAUAAGCAACGGCUAAACUCCGUGCC
rnacentral:rRNA from 1 species